UCCCGCACAAGCAGCGGAGCGUGUGGUUUUAAUUCGAUGCUACACGAAGAACCUUACUGGGUUUGACAUAGAGGUAGUAGGGAAGCGAAAGCGGACCGACCCUUCGGGGAGCCUCUACAGGUGUUGCAUGGCUGUCGUCAGCUCGUGUCGUGAGAUGUUCGGUUAAGUCCGCUAACGAGCGCAACCCUCGCUGUGUGUUACAAGUGUCACACGGUACUGCCGAUAUUAAGUCGGAGGAAGGUGGGGAUGACGUCAAGUCAGCAUGACCUUUAUAUCCAGGGCUACACACACGCUACAAUGGCCAGUACAAUGGGUAGCCAAGCCGCGAGGCGGAGCCAAUCCUGAAAGCAGGCCUCAGUUCAGAUUGCAGUCUGCAACUCGACUGCAUGAAGCCGGAGUUGCUAGUAACCGCAGGUCAGCAAUACUGCGGUGAAUACGUUCCCGGGUCUU
rnacentral:rRNA from 1 species